GAUUUGGAAAACAUAAAAAUCAUCCAACCAGUCCAACAGAUAAUACAUAUCCUUUCAGUCUUCGGUAGGCCUCUUAACAUACUUCUCCUGCUAAACUAAGAUCAUAAGAAUUGUCAUUCUGGAUUAAAGCAGGGGACCAUCUUGUCUAGUAUCUUAUUCCAAAAGUGGCCAUUUCCAACUACUUCAGAGGAAGAUGUAAGAAACCUCCUACUGAACAAUUAAGGAAAAGUUCCUUAAAGUCCAUCCUCCACAGAAGUCAAAGGGAGUGGUAGUUGCCUAUCUGACAGAAGAAUUUGGCCCUGUGGUAUUAAAGUGUUCACAAUUCUCGUAUGAGUAUGGACAUGAUGUCAGUCAAGUUCACCUGACUAAUUGUUUGUUACAUUAAUCGUGAUUCAGAAGGUUUAAUCCACGUCAUUUUGCAGUUAGAAAAGUUAGUCUGCUUUGCCUGGAAAAAGUCAAGAGGAACUUUUAGUGGUUCUCUUACCUGAUCUCACCCAGCACGUCAAACAGAUGAAGAGAAAUAGCUUCAACAUAUGGAAAUGGUGAAAAGCAACACGUAACAUCCACAACUGAAUGGAGAAGAUUUUAGUAUUUCCUUAUAGCGUGCUAGCUUUCACUAUGAUCUGACAAUUAAACGUCACUGAUAAAACAGGUGUGGUGAAGAGAAGGAAGUUACUUUGCAAAGGGCAAAAACCAAUGAUCAAGCUUUUGCAAUGCAUGACUCCUCCUAUUUACUCACUUAAAUUGGUGAUGCAUAUUCUGUUCCUUC